rnacentral:tRNA from 1 species
CAAGGGAUGUAGCUCCGCUUGGUAGGGCGUUUGUUUUGGGUACAAAAUGUCAAAGGUUCGAAUCCUGUCAUCCC